ensembl:lncRNA
AUCGGGAAGAAGAUGGGGAGAGGAGAGAGAGGAGGGCACGAAGGGGACAUUAAGGUUAAAAGGGUGAUCGAUCGGCGCAGACGGCAACUGCAGGGAGCCAGGGGCUCUGCUGGAGAAACAGACGGGGAAAAGUGGGGGCACGGGGGGCACUAGUGGGGCAUGGGCAGCCAGGUGGGGAUGUCACCGCACUGCCCCUGUGCCAGGCGGCUGGAGAGCCCCUGAUCUGCUGCACGGUGCUGGGGGCAGCAGUGGGGCACAGGUGUGCUAACCACCCCCCUCCCAUCUGUCUGCAAUUGCCAGCAACUAACCUUACCAGAUAAAUGUGCUGCUGGGGGCACCUCCCCUCCCACUAGUUUGGAGGAAGCAAACCAUGUGUAGCCCCUGGGGAGGGGUCUUCAGAAGCAGCAUGUGCAAGAGCUCUGUUCCCAGGCUCGUUGCUUCGAUCUUAGCAAGAACCUGGAAAGCAGAUGCAUGCAGGGGACCCAACAGGUACUUGGUGUUGAUGGAUGGGUUUUGUGACUGGAAAGUUGGUGCGAUGACUCCUCAAAUGGCCAAUGAAAAUCUUGUAGCGAGUGCUGAAGAAGUUAUUAAUGAUUUCCCCUUGCUGUAGCAGAGCAGGCGCUGCCUGGCUGGGCUGUAGGUGGAUCCGUGCGAGGUGCUCUGAGCAGGAUGGGUCUUUGCACUGCAUUUCUUCCUGGGCUCUCCUUUGCUUUAGCUCAUGACCUCGGUGCUGCACAUGGUCCAUGGCAUCCUGUUAGAUUUCGGUAACUGAGGGAAGUCUGCAUCAUACUGAUGCUGCCUUCACUGAAAACAUCGAUGCCUGCAAUUCAGCUUUAUCCGCAUUAACUUUAAUUUCUUGGGCCUGGAGGAGACUUCCCUCUUGCAGCCCAGUUCCAACCAGGGAAGAUCUGCCUCCUGCUGCCAUCCUCAGCAAGCUGCUGUUCCUUGCUAUGAAGGCAAACUGGGAAGUGCUCUCCUGGUGAAGGUGGGAGCUCACAACGAGAUUCUGGAGGUGAACUUGGUGGCGUUAGAGGAGCGGUGGCUGCGCCAUGCCCAGGAUGCUGCGUGUGCCACCGGGUGCCCAACGCCUGGUGCUGGGUGACCCAGCCCUUGCACCGCCCUGGGGCAGCGUCCUGCAGAGAGAAGCGUGCAGGAGGUGCUCUUCCUUUUGAAGAGGGAAUGGUGAUGUGCUAGCAAGGAUCUCAGAGCCUCUGUGAGCUGAUAAAUCCAAAAGAUGCCGGAUUGCAUCAGAACCAUCUUCACUGUGAACAACCGAGACAAGACCUGAAUCAGGUAACAGAAGUUGCUGUGUGCCAGUGCUGCGUGUGGCAGAGGUGUCUUCAUGUCAUGCUGGGCACGUCGCCCACUUACACCCUGCCUUCCCUGUCCGCAGUGGCCUCCUUCAUGUUUCAGUACAAAGUGAUGCUCCCAUGUAUGCACUGAUGAGGAUGGCUGCUUCCCACUGCCCCUCAGGCUCAAUCUGCUGCUCUUCCCAAUUUACUCCAGUGGUCUCUAGAAUCCUGCUGCUGCCCACCCCCGUGGCCUUGUUCUGUUACCCAGACUCCUUCCCUCUGAUGACUUCCUUGCUCCGAAGCUGUUUGGUGUUGGCCCACGCAGUCCUGGGGAUUAUUUGACCAUUGCUACCCCAGCAUUUGCUCCUUGCAAAACCCAUCAGUGCCCCGUCCUCCCCAGCAGCGCCUCCGCUCCGCACCACGGGAAGGCUGCAGGUAUCCCCGCAGUGAGCAGCGUGCUGCUGCCAGGGAUCCCCUGACACGUUGGCGUUCAUCAGCCUGUCAGCAUUCAGCUUUUUCUCUUCCAUCCUCCCGGGGGGGGGGGAUGGCCUCUGCUCCUCGCACGGCAGCCAUCCUGCAGCAGAGUUGCAGACAAGCCCGGCAGCAGCGCCAGCUCUGGGAGCUGUGCUCGGGGUGAGCCCACGCGCGGGGCUGUGACUGCGCUGGCAUCGGCCGUGGUGCAGCCGGGAAGCCAACGAGAACCUCUUUAUAUAAACUCCAUUUUCUGGUUGUUGGUUUUUUUUUUUUUCAUAAAAGCCCUUCUAAUUUGUACCAAAGAGGCUCGAGCAUGCCCCUGGGACUGGUAAAAAUAAUAAUAGCUUAAGUGGUAGAAGACUGUGAAUUUGAAACAGAAGGUUAUGAGACUUAAAAGUAUUACAAAAACGUCAACAUUGUAUAUCAAUAAAUGUAAUUUAGAUAUACA